GAGACUCACCGGGAGAGACAGCCAAGGAUAGGGCAGCGCUGGGGUUCGGGGCUGCAGCCUUGGACUCCCGCUGCCAGUGCUCUUUCGGAGGACACUUCCACAGAGAACCCUGGGAGAUGUCUGGCACAGAGAAGAUGCUCACUUAAUGUAGGUGCACUGCUCUAGAAGUGAGGUCUGGGUCUCAGUGUGUCGGAGAGUGCCUUCCGUCCUUAUCUCUACAAAGGUGACCUUUCCUUCCGCUUCCUCUCUGGCUGUCCUGCCCUGGCCGGACCCCAUAGGGAUCGUGGUUCUGGCUUGAGACGCUGCAUUCCUCUCUGGCCGGGCCCGCCGAGACCCAGAGCCCAGGGAGAACUCCUUCCCUUCCUUGAUGCUCGUCCUGCAAGUCCAGACGCCGUCAACUCCAAGGCGUUCCCUCUGGGCCCGGGCCAGAGUAGCUGCGGCCGAGCUCCUCCCUCCCCCGCCAGCCUCCUUGGGUGCAGACAGCCCAGCACUGGCAGGAAGGGCCUUCUGUUUGCCUUGGCUGGUGGGGAAGAGAUUAGUGCUCGCUUUCUGUUUGGACUCUUGUAUCUAACUAACAGGCAGGCCCGUGAUAUUGAAGCAAAGCACACUUGAGCCUUGAAUGAGUUUGGGCCCUGUUCCUGAGGCCGGCCACUGCAGAGGUGUCUGGAGGUAGGAAGGGGUGAUAACAUCACCCCUUGGGUAUAUGGAGAAAUGUAAUGGCCGUCUGUCAGCUGUCCCUACCCAGAGUCCACGACCCUUACUUUGGGUAAUGCCUCCUCAGGAGACCACUUCUCCCCGACCUCGACUUUAGAGGCAAGCAUGGAUCCCCGGAUACACACGGAGACUCCCCCUUGGUGGUUUUGCAGCAGCUACGGGGAAAGAGGCAUUUGCUUUUUUGUGGGAUUUGCCAGGUUGAUGGAACUGCUGGCGGUCAUCCUGUUCUCUGCUUGAGGUCAAAGCCAACAAAGAAGAAAAAGCUCAGAGAUGGAGAGAAUAUGCUGUGCAGAUAUCCAUAAGCCCCUGGAUUGAGCCAUGCCUGAAGGUAACUCUACUCCUGGAUUAACCCGAUUAUAUGAGCCAAUGCGUUUCUUCUGUGCUAAAAUUAUCCUAAGUGGGGUUUCUGUCAUAGAAAGGAGCCUAAUAAAACAGUGUUUGUCUUUGGUCUCAUUAAGAAAAAAAAAAAUCAACUCUGAGGUAUACUUUGCAUGCAAUAAAAUCUACCAAUUCGAAGUGCUCAAGUCCUACAUUUUAUCAAAUGUGUACACCCUGGUAACUACCACUGCAGUCUAGAUGAGAACAUUUCAAGUUCUCUUAUUCCCCUUUAUAGUCCUUUACCCUGAACAACCACUGACCUGCCUUUGUCGUAGAGAUUAAUUUUGCCUUUCUAGAACUUCAUAUAAAUAUUAUCAUUUAGUGUUUACUCUUCUGUGUCUGGCUUCUUUUAUUCAGCAGGUCUUUGAGAUGCACCCAUGUUGUGUGCCUCAGUAGUUCAUUCCUUAUUUCUGAGAAGAAUUCCACUGUAUGGAUGUACCACAGUUGGCUUAGCCGUUUAUCCGAUGAUGGACAGUUAAGCUAUUUCCAGAUUUUGACUAUUACGAAUAAAGCUGUUUUGAACAUCGG